AUUCUUGUGCAGGCCGUUUGGUCACAAAUCUCGUGACUGGGAUUCAGGGAGCAAAUUUAGGAGGUACACCUCCUAACUUCGAUUGGAAAGUUUGACGUCACAGAGGCUAAUAUCCUAAUCAGCCAUCAAAUCGAUCCAGCUUUGUGUGAAAGCCAGAACUUUGCCUGGGGUCUGAGAGCAAAAUGGUGGCAGGGUGGAUUCCUGACGGACAGAAGGAUUCAUCCGGUACGGAGGUGAUGCCCCAGGAAUGCAGAGGAUGAGCGCGGUUGAGGUCCUGUUGUUCUGAUCCCUGAUCUAUCGUCCAACCA